CCCUCCAAACGAUAAGAAUCGGAGGGGACGGAGGGAGUAAUAUAUUAAAUCACACUUUAAGCCAAAAAUAACUUAAUGUAUCCUUUAUAAUAUAUUAAAUAAUACUUUUAGAGGGGAAAACAAUCCUAAAAUUAUAUAUUGAAAUUCAAAAUUUAUGUUUCAUAGGCAGAAUUCCAGGCUAGUACUUUUUAUUUGGGCCUAAAAUUCUUUUUUUUGUUAUGGGUUAGUACUUUUGGGCCUUAAAAGUGACCCAAAAUUCUUUUUUUUGUUAUAGGUUAGUACUUUUGGGCCUUAAAAGUGGCCCAAUAACAUUAAAUAUCUUAUCAUGCGCUUAGCUUCGCUAAAGCGCGCUUUUCUACCGCUCCGUGCUUAAGCGCGCUUUGUGCUUCAAGGCUAAAAGCGUGCGCUUCAUUGAAGUUGCUUUGCCUCGACAUAUAUGAGGCGCUAAGGGUGCGCUUUGCUUCGCUUUGCGCCUAGGCGCUCGCCUAGGCGCGCUUUUCACAACACUGGCCAUGCCUAUCAUCUAUUGGAACUUGAAGUUUUAAGAACUGG
rnacentral:lncRNA from 1 species